rnacentral:rRNA from 1 species
GAUGAACGCUGGCGGCGUGCCUAAUACAUGCAAGUCGAGCGAACGGACGAGAAGCUUGCUUCUCUGAUGUUAGCGGCGGACGGGUGAGUAACACGUGGAUAACCUACCUAUAUGACUGGGAUAACUUCGGGAAACCGGAGCUAAUACCGGAUAAUAUUUUGAACCGCAUGGUUCAAAAGUGAAAGACGGUCUUGCUGUCACUUAUAGAUGGAUCCGCGCUGCAUUAGCUAGUUGGUAAGGUAACGGCUUACCAAGGCAACGAUGCAUAGCCGACCUGAGAGGGUGAUCGGCCACACUGGAACUGAGACACGGUCCAGACUCCUACGGGAGGCAGCAGUAGGGAAUCUUCCGCAAUAGGCGAAAGCCUGACGGAGCAACGCCGCGUGAGUGAUGAAGGUCUUCGGAUCGUAAAACUCUGUUAUUAGGGAAGAACAUAUGUGUAAGUAACUGUGCACAUCUUGACGGUACCUAAUCAGAAAGCCACGGCUAACUACGUG